UACGUAGGGUGCAAGCGUUAAUCGGAAUUACUGGGCGUAAAGCGUGCGCAGGCGGCUUUGCAAGACAGAUGUGAAAUCCCCGGGCUCAGCCUGGGAACUGCAUUUGUGACUGCAAGGCUAGAGUACGGCAGAGGGGGAUGGAAUUCCGCGUGUAGCAGUGAAAUGCGUAGAUAUGCGGAGGAACACCAAUGGCGAAGGCAAUCCCCUGGGCCUGUACUGACGCUCAUGCACGAAAGCGUGGGGAGCAAACAGG
rnacentral:rRNA from 1 species